rnacentral:tRNA from 1 species
GGCCCCUUAGCUCAGCGGUUAGAGCAGUCGACUCAUAAUCGAUUGGUCCCCAGUUCGAUUCUGGGAGGGGCCACCA